rnacentral:rRNA from 1 species
GGAUGCCAACAUGCCACCACUAAAGCACCGGAUCCCAUCAGAACUCCGGAGUUAAGCAUGCUUGGGCUAGAGUAGUACUAGGAUGGGUGAACUCCUGGGAAUUCCUCGUGUUGCAUUCC